rnacentral:rRNA from 1 species
AGUGAACGCUGGCGGUAGGCCUAACACAUGCAAGUCGAACGGCAGCACAGUAAGAGCUUGCUCUUACGGGUGGCGAGUGGCGGACGGGUGAGGAAUACAUCGGAAUCUACUUUUUCGUGGGGGAUAACGUAGGGAAACUUACGCUAAUACCGCAUACGACCUACGGGUGAAAGCAGGGGAUCUUCGGACCUUGCGCGAUUAAAUGAGCCGAUGUCGGAUUAGCUAGUUGGCGGGGUAAAGGCCCACCAAGGCGACGAUCCGUAGCUGGUCUGAGAGGAUGAUCAGCCACACUGGAACUGAGACACGGUCCAGACUCCUACGGGAGGUAGCAGUGGGGAAUAUUGGACAAUGGGCGCAAGCCUGAUCCAGCCAUACCGCGUGGGUGAAGAAGGCCUUCGGGUUGUAAAGCCCUUUUGUUGGGAAAGAAAAGCAGCAGGUUAAUACCCCGCUGUUCUGACGGUACCCAAAGAAUAAGCACCGGCUAACUUCGUG